rnacentral:rRNA from 1 species
AGAGCGAACGCUGGCGGCAGGCCUAAAACAUGCAAGUCGAACGGAUCCUUCGGGAUUAGUGGCGGACGGGUGAGUAACACGUGGGAACGUGCCUUUUGGUUCGGAACAACUCAGGGAAACUUGAGCUAAUACCGGAUGUGCCCUUCGGGGGAAAGAUUUAUCGCCAUUAGAGCGGCCCGCGUCUGAUUAGCUUGUUGGUGGGGUAAAGGCCUACCAAGGCUACGAUCAGUAGCUGGUCUGAGAGGAUGAUCAGCCACACUGGGACUGAGACACGGCCCAGACUCCUACGGGAGGCAGCAGUUAGGAAUCUUGCGCAAUGGGGGAAACCCUGACGCAGCCAUGCCGCGUGAAUGAUGAAGGUCUAGGAUUGUAAAAUUCUUCAGCGGGACAUAAUGACGGUACCGCAGAAGAAGCCCCGGCUAACUCGUGCCAGCAGCCGC